AGCGAACGCUGGCGGCAGGCCUAACACAUGCAAGUCGAGCGGAUCCUUCGGGAUUAGUGGCGGACGGGUGAGUAACACGUGGGAACGUGCCCUUUGGUUCGGAACAACUCAGGGAAACUUGAGCUAAUACCGGAUGUGCCCUUCGGGGGAAAGAUUUAUCGCCAUUGGAUCGGCCCGCGUCUGAUUAGCUAGUUGGUGAGGUAAAGGCUCACCAAGGCGACGAUCAGUAGCUGGUCUGAGAGGAUGAUCAGCCACAUUGGGACUGAGACACGGCCCAAACUCCUACGGGAGGCAGCAGUGGGGAAUCUUGCGCAAUGGGCGAAAGCCUGACGCAGCCAUGCCGCGUGAAUGAUGAAGGUCUUAGGAUUGUAAAAUUCUUUCACCGGGGACGAUAAUGACGGUACCCGGAGAAGAAGCCCCGGCUAACUUCGUGCCAGCCGCCGCGGUAACAC
rnacentral:rRNA from 1 species